GGUGCCAUGGUCUAGUGGUAUGACGCUACAUUGUGGUGAAUUCUGUAUCAGCCCCGGUUCGAUUCCGGGUGGCGCCA
rfam:Penicillium vulpinum strain IBT 29486 PENVTL_contig019, whole genome shotgun sequence.